GGACCCGCACAAGCGGUGGAGCAUGUGGUUUAAUUCGAUGCAACGCGAAAAACCUUACCUAUACUUGACAUACUUGGAAUGCUUUGUAAUGAAGCAGUGCCUUCGGGAGCCAAGAUACAGGUGCUGCAUGGCUGUCGUCAGCUCGUGUCGUGAGAUGUUCCGUUAAGUCGGAUAACGAGCGCAACCCUUACCCUUAUUUGCCAGCGAUUCGGUCGGGAACUAUAAGGGACUGCCGGUGAUAAACCGGAGGAAGGUGAGGACGACGUCAAGUCAUCAUGGCCCUUACGUAUAGGGCUACACACGUGCUACAAUGGAGAAUACAGACGGACGCUAAGCCGCGAGGUGGUGCU
rnacentral:rRNA from 1 species